rnacentral:rRNA from 1 species
GACGAACGCUGGCGGCGUGCUUAAUACAUGCAAGUCGAGCGAGGUUAUUGUUUUGGAUCCCUUCGGGGUGAAGAAGCUUUAACCUAGCGGCGGACGGGUGAGUAACGCGUGGGUAACCUACCCCAAAGUCCGGGAUAACAGCGGGAAACCGCUGCUAAUACCGGAUGCCUUUACCUUGGGGCAUCUUGAGGUAAAGAAAGGUAACGCUUUGGGAUGGGCCCGCGUCCCAUUAGCUAGUUGGUGAGGUAACGGCUCACCAAGGCGACGAUGGGUAGCCGGCCUGAGAGGGUGGACGGCCACACUGGGACUGAGACACGGCCCAGACUCCUACGGGAGGCAGCAGUAGGGAAUAUUGCGCAAUGGACGGAAGUCUGACGCAGCGACGCCGCGUGAGCGAUGAAGGUCUUCGGAUCGUAAAGCUCUGUCCUUGGGGAAGAAGGUCUUCGGACUUGACGGUACCCAAGAAGAAAGCCCCGGCUAACUACGUG